GAUGAACGCUAGCGACAGGCCUAACACAUGCAAGUCGAGGGGCAACGGGGCGUAGCAAUACGCUGCCGGCGACCGGCGGAUGGGUGAGUAACGCGUAUGCAACCUGCCUUCAGCAGGGGGAUAGCCCGUUGAAAGACGGAUUAAUACCCCAUAACACAGGGGCUCCGCAAUGGAGAUUAUUGUUAAAGGGAUGCUUCCUUCGGGGGUAUUCCGGCUGAAGAUGGGCAUGCGUUCCAUUAGGUAGUUGGUUGAGGUAACGGCUCACCAAGCCUACGAUGGAUAGGGGAACUGAGAGGUUGGUCCCCCACACUGGUACUGAGACACGGACCAGACUCCUACGGGAGGCAGCAGUGAGGAAUCUUGGUCAAAUGGACGGAAGUCUGAACCAGCCAUGUCGCGUGAAGGAGGACGGCCCUAAGGGUUGUAAACGUUCUUUUGCAGCGGAAUAAAGUAUUCCACGUGAUGGGAUAUUGCAAGUACGCUGCGAAUAAGGAUCGGCUAACUCCGU
rnacentral:rRNA from 1 species